rnacentral:rRNA from 1 species
ACUCCUACGGGAGGCAGCAGUGGGGGAAUAUUGCACAAUGGGGGGAAAACCCUGAUGCAGCCAUGCCGCGUGUGUGAAGAAGGCCUUCGGGUUGUAAAGCACUUUCAGUAGGGAGGAAGGUAGUGUAGUUAACACCUGCAUUAUUUGACGUUACCUACAGAAGAAGCACCGGCUAACUCCGUGCCAGCAGCCGCGGUAAGUACGGAGGGUGCGAGCGUUAAUCGGAAUUACGUGGGCGUAAAGCGCAUGCAGGCGGCCUGUUAAGUCAGAUGUGAAAGCCCGGGGUCUUAACCUCGGAAUUGCAUUUGAAACUGGCAGGCUAGAGUCUUGUAGAGGGGGUUAGAAUUUCAGGUGUAGCGGUGAAAUGCGUAGAGAUCUGAAGGAAUACCAGGUGGCGAAGGCGGCCCCUGGACAAAGACUGACGCUCAGAUGCGAAAGCGUGGGAGCAAACAGGAUUAGAUACCCCUGGU